AAAUUCAAAGUUUAUUCAAUCAUAGUCAAAGUUUAUAAUACAAGAAACAUUUUCUGAGAAGAUUGUUAUAUAUUAACUGCUUGUUAUCCAUUAACAUAUAUUAGCUGUGCUUGUUGAAAAAAAAAGUUAAUAAAACUGAGAUUUCUUUAUUCUGUUGUUUAACUUUAUUAAUUCCUCAUGCCAGAUUAUUCUCAUGUUUUUAUGCUUCAC
rnacentral:lncRNA from 1 species